GGUUUGGUGGUCUAGUGGUAUGAUUCUCGCUUAGGGCAAACCCUUGGUUUAUAGCUGCAAUACAUGUAUGCUAUGCUUGCGAGAGGUCCCGGGUUCAAUCCCCGGCCAAACCC